CCUCUGUUUCUGGCACCCCGUCGUACCCUUCUUCGGAAAGAUCUUUCGGACUCCAGAGGGCGGAUCCUGGUGUCCCAGCUCUCUUUGGGGGACGUGUCCGUGGGGCAGUUCUGGCCGGUUAGGCCUGUCCUGGAGAAAUCUAAAAGGAACGGGUUGGGGCUUGGGACGCGCUUUGCUCAGGCAGCGUUUGGGGCAGCCCCAAUAGAGUCCUCCUGGGGCCUUCCUCUCUUUGAACUGCGGUGGCGGGCCGCCUCAGUGUCUCCUGCACCCCUCAGAGUAGGGGCCGCCAUCACCAUGGCCCCGGCUGCCAGUCGGCCCUGCGACGGCGGGUCGCGGGACAUUCUGUGGCGCGUUUUGGGCUGGAGGAUAGUUGCAAGUAUUGUGUGGUCAGUGCUGCUGCUGCCGGUCUGUACCACAGUAUUUAUAAUCUUCAGCAGCAUUGAUUUACUUCAUCCUAUACAGUGGCUGGCUGAUUCUUUCAAUGAUCUCUAUAGUUCAUAUGUAAUCUUUUACCUCCUGCUGCUGUCUGUAGUAAUAGUAAUAAUAAGUAUUUUCAAUGUGGAGUUCUAUACAGUUGUGCCUUCCAUUCCCUGCUCCAGACUGGCCCUGAUAGGGAAGGUCAUUCAUCCUCAGCAGCUCAUGCACUCAUUUAUGCAUGCUGCGAUGGGAAUGAUGACGGCUUGGUGUGCAGCAGUGAUAACCAAGAGUCGAUACAGUUUCCUUGUGGUUUCCUGCACUAGUACUGAGAGUGUAGACAGCCCUGCUGCACCCACCUGCAUAAAUGAGCAUCACCUUUUUUUCCUAUUGGCUGGAGCAUUCAUGGGCUAUAGCUAUAGCCUCCUGUAUUUUAUUAACAAUAUGAACUAUCUUCCCUUUCCCAUCAUACAGCAAUACAAGUUCUUGCGCUUCAGGAGAUCUCUGCUUUUACUAGUUAAGCAUAGUUGUGUAGAAUCGCUGUUCCUAACUAGAAAUUUCUGCAUUGUGUAUUAUUUCCUAGGCCAUAUUCCCAAAACUUGGAUUAGCACUGCAAUGGACCUUCAGAUAGAUGAGCAGUUUCACAGGCCUCUUGACACUGUGAGUGGCCUCUUGAAUCUCUCAUUACUUUACCAUGUCUGGCUAUGUGGUGUCUUUCUCCUGAUGACUUGGUAUACCUCAUGGGUUCUCUUCAAAAUCAGUGUCACAGAGGCUCAUCUGUUCCCUGUUCAACCACCAUUUUCAGGAGAGUCUGAUGAAUGCCUCCCGAAAGUUUUAAACAGCAAUCCUCCCCUCAUCAUAAAGUAUUUGGCCUUGCAGGACCUGAUGUUGCUUUCUCAGUAUUCUCCUUCACGAAGACAAGAAGUUUUUAGCCUUAGCCAACCAGGUGGACAUCCCCACAAUUGGACAGCCAUUUCAAGGGAAUGUUUGAAUCUUUUAAAUGAUAUGACUCAGAAACUGGUUCUCUACCAAGAAGCUGCUGCUACUAAUGGGAGAGUGAUGUCUUCCUCAUACCCAAUGGAACCUAAGAAAUCAAAUUCUCCAGAAGAAACUACUUUUCAGACCCCCAUAUCUAGCCAGAUGCCUCACCCAUCAAUGCCACCAUUAGUUAAGACAUCACUGUUUUCCUCAAAAUUAUCUACACCUGAUGUUGCAAGUCCUCUUGGAACCCCAUUUGGCUCUAGUGCAGUAAAUCGGAUGGCUGGAAUUUUUGAUGUAAACACUUGUUAUGGGUCACCCCAAAGUCCUCAGCUAAUAAGAAGAGGACCAAGAUUAUGGACUUCUGCUUCUGAUCAGCAAAUGACUGAAUUUUCUAAUCCUUCUCCAUCUACCUCUGUUAACGCUAAGGGUAAGACAGUGAGACAGCCCAGUGUGAUUUAUUCAUGGAUUGAGAAUAAACGUGACCAGAUAAAGAAUUUUUUAUCAAAACGGGUGCUGAUAAUGUAUUUUUUCAGUAAGCACCCAGAGACCUCCAUUCAGGCUGUCUUUUCAGAUGCUCAAAUGCAUAUUUGGGCAUUAGAAGGUCUGUCUCACUUAGUAGCAGCUUCAUUUACAGAAGAUAGAUUUGGAGUUGUCCAGACUACACUACCAGCUAUUCUUGAUACUUUGUUGACACUGCAAGAGGUAGGCAGUAGGCAGUUGACAAGUACUUCAAGCUUCCUCAUGCUUCCAGUAAACCACCUCGGAUUUCAGGAAGCCUUGUGGACACUUCUUAUAAAACAUUAAGAUUUGCAUUUAGAGCAUCUCUAAAAACUGCCAUCUAUCGAAUAACUACUACAUUUGGUGAACAUCUGAAUGCUGUGCAAGCAUCUGCAGAACAUCAGAAAAGACUUCAACAGUUCUUGGAGUUCAAAGAAUAGUUAAGUAAUAUAAACUGUGUUCAUUACACUGCUGAUACAACUACAGAUGGGACAGUAAAUGUUUAGCAUUCUUGGAUCAGAAGAAAAUGGACUAAUUAGAUGCUUCCUUUGUCGUGGUGGUUGCUUUGAAAACUAUACUUUAAUGGGAGAAAUCAUGGAAAGAAAUUCUGAACAGAAUAACUGAAAACUGCCUUUUUUGUACUGAUUGCUUUUUGUAUGUGUGGUAUAAUAAAAUCUUUAUUCGAUUUUACAAAAGCAUCUUUGGCAGUAGAAAUGUCUCUAGUUUAUAUAACUUAAUAAUAAUAAUAGAAAAUGUUCAGAAUUUACUUUGGAGAGGAAUAGAGCCAGUUCAGAAGGUAAAAUAGGUAGACUUGAUCCAGUCUUCCGAAUUGUUCUGAGAGUUUAGUUCAGUGUAAAUUUGAAAUAUGUAAACUUUAGUUUCUGUUUACUGAAAGAUAAAAAUGGUAACAGUGGAGGAAAAUUCACAGAAAAAUUAUUGUCUAAAGGACAUAUUUUGUUAAUCUUUUAGGUUAUGGUUUUAUUCCAGGAACAAAUUAAAUUUGAUUGUCCAAAAAAAGUCUCAAUUUACAGAUGCUAACUGUAUAUAAAGGAAUGUGGAAAAAUUCAGUUCUUAUGUUAUAAGGUUAAACACUCACAUUUGGUUUUUGAAAGACAAUUGAGUGACAUCUAUGAAUUUGUUUUGUAUCAUGCUAGUGAACAGUAAGUAUAUGGAUAUUUUCCCAACUAGUUUUGCUUUCUUUUCCUGGAACAAAACAUUAAGUGAUUGCAGAGUUUUUCAAAUGAGAGAAAAAAUUUUACAAGAAAAACAGGAAAAUUUCCUUUUUUCCUCCACCUUUCAUCCUCAUUAGAUCAAAUUAUUUUGUGUAGUUUGUUUGGCCUCACAGAGGGAGCAGCCUUUGCUGUGUUAACUGGCUAAUAAAAAUAUAUUAGGAAAAUCUUUGCAGCCAGAAACAACUUAGUCAUCAAAUAGCAAGUGAAACCAAAACAUCAGAGAGACUAGGGUACUUGGGAAUAUGUUAUAUGUCCCAAAAGUGAGCAAGGUAAUAAUAUAGUUUAUUAGAUCAACUUCUGUGGAGAUGAAAGAUUGGAAAUCCUAGUGGUAGAUAGUCACGGGACGAGCUUUGGAUUAUAAUGCUCACUGGUAAUUAUUUUACUGUUAUCUUUUCCCAUUGGUGUCCCCCAGUUUUUCUUUAUAGGCAGUGCACUAUUGUAUAUUAAUCUUUAAUGUGAUAUAUAUAUAUAUACUAUUUGAUUACUCGAUGUAUUAUAUCUUUAUUCCUUUUAUUUGUUGCCCCUUCAACCACCACAUGCCAAAAUAUAAAUGAGUCCUGCUGGACUUCAAA